rnacentral:rRNA from 1 species
UCAAGCUGCAAAGGGCACAGAGUGAAUGCCUAGGUGCCGGAUGGCGAUGAAGGACGUGGUAAGCUGCGAUAAGCCGACUUGAGCCGCAAUCAGGCGCUGAAAGUCGGAUUUCCGAAUGGGGAAACCCCUAGAAUGCAAUCCCAACAAAUAAGAUUGCAUGGCGAAACCGGGUGAAGUGAAACAUCUCAGUAACCCGAGGAAAAGAAAAUGAUAUGAUUCUGGAAGUAGUGGCGAGCGAAACCAGAAAAGCCCAAACUUCGCCGACUUGUCGGCGGAGGGUAGCGGGACUGGCGCAGGACAGCGCUGAUUCUGAAAAUUGGAUGGAAAUCCAAGCCUCAGAGCGUGAUAGCCGCGUAUAAGGAAGAGGCGCUGUUUGUCAGUAUCCCAAGUAACACAGUGCACGUGAAACCCUGUGCGAAUCUGUCUGGACCACCAGAUAAGGCUAAAUACAAGCCGGCAACCGAUAGUGAACUAGUACCGCGAGGGAAAGGCGAUAAGAACCCUGAAAGGGAGUGAAAUAGAACCUGAAACUCUGUGUCUACAAUGUGUCGAAGUCGCAAGACGACGGCCUGCCUUUUGCAUAAUGAGUCUGCGAGUUAUUGUCUGGAGCGGCUUAGCAUCGAUGGAUGUGAGGCCAAGUGAAAGCGAGCGUUAAAUGCGCGUUGGUUUCAGGCAAUAGACCCGAAGCGGAGGUGAUCUACUCUUGAGCAGGUUGAAGCCAAGGUAAAACUUGGUGGAGGACCGAACUGGUGGAUGUUGAAAAAUCCUGAGAUGACUUGAGAGUAGGAGCGAAAGACUAAUCAAACCCCGUGAUAGCUGGUUCUCUCCGAAAUCGCUUUAGGGCGAGGGUUGCAAAGUAAACUUGGCAGGUAGAGCACUGGAUGGCUUAGGGUCCACACCAGGAUGCCAAAACCAAUCAAACUCCAAAUUGCCUUGGUUCCAAUAUUGCAGCACUCAGACGGUGGGGGAUAAGCUCCAUCGUCGAGAGGACAACAGUCCAGAUUGCCGGCUAAGGUGCCCAAAGCGGUCUAAGUGUAAAGGAUGUUGCGUUACAAAAACAGUGAGGAUGUUGGCUUAGAGGCAGCCAUCAUUUAAACAGUGCGUAAUAGCUGACUCAUCGAGUGACGCAGCGCCGAAAAUGAUUGGCGAUAAGACCGCUACCGAAGCCGCAAAACGAAAGUUGGUAGGAGAGCGUUGUUUGUGCUGCGAAGCAAAACCGAAAGGUGAUGUGGAGCGCAAACAAGUGAGAAUGCAGACACGAGUAGCGAUAAACCAGAUGUGAAUUCUGGUCGCAGUAAACCUAAGGUUUCCUAGGCUAGGUUCGUCCUCCUAGGGUUAGUCGGGAGCUAAGGCGAGGCCAUACGGCGUAGCCGAUGCACAUGCGGUUAAUAUUCCGCGACCUAACGGACAGUGGUUUCAGCCUGCAGAGCAUGAGGGGACAGGGUGAUUGAAAUCCGGCUUAGAUUGCAUCAAAGCACGUCUCCAAAAAUCUGCCUAGAAAAUGCUGAGUAACAACUCCCGUUGCCCGUACCAAAACCGACACAGGUGGGUGGGUCGAGUAGACCAAGGCGAGCGAGAUAGCCCUCUCUAAGUAACUCGGCAAAUUAGCCCCGUAACUUCGGGAGAAGGGGUGCCCAGUAAAAUGGGUCACAGUAAAUUGCGCUUAGCGACUGUUUAACAAAAGCACAGCACUCUGCCAUGUCAUUACGACUACGUAUAGGGUGUGACAAGUGACCAAUGCGGAAAGAUCAAGGUAAGAGGUUAGCGCAAGCGAAGCUUCGAGCCUAAGUCCCCGUGAAUGUCGGCCGUAACUAUAACGGUCCUAAGGUAGCGAAAUUCCUUGUCGGGUAAGUUCCGACCUGCACGAAUCUUGUAACGACUAAGCGACUGUCUCAGAGAGGUUCUCGGCGAAACUGUAGUUGCGGUGAAGAUGCCGCAUUCCCGCAGUAGGACGGAAAGACCCUAUGCACCUUUACUGUAAGCUCGUAUUGGCUUCUGGUUGGUGAUGCUUAGCGUAGGUGGGAGGCUUUGAAGGCACAGCUCCGGUUGUGCCUGAGCCGAAAUGUGAAACACCACUCUUCAUCAAUUAGAAGUCUAACUUUGAAUCCGUAGCCGGACAAAGGACAUUGCGUGCGGGUCAGUUUGGCUGGGGCGGCUUCCUCCCAGAUUGUCACGGAGGAGCGCGAAGCUGGGCUCUGC